rnacentral:rRNA from 1 species
UACGUAGGGGGCUAGCGUUGUCCGGAAUCAUUGGGCGUAAAGCGCGCGUAGGCGGCCCGGUAAGUCCGCUGUGAAAGUCCAGGGCUCAACCCUGGAAAGCCGGUGGAUACUGCCCGGGCUAGAGUCCGGAAGAGGCGAGUGGAAUUCCUGGUGUAGCGGUGGAAUGCGCAGAUAUCAGGAGGAACACCGAUGGCGAAGGCAGCUCGCUGGGACGGUGAC